GGGACACGUGGUAUCCUGUCUGAAUAUGGGGGGACCAUCCUCCAAGGCUAAAUACUCCUGACUGACCGAUAGUGAACCAGUACCGUGAGGGAAAGGCGAAAAGAACCCCGGCGAGGGGAGUGAAAAAGAACCUGAAACCGUGUACGUACAAGCAGUGGGAGCACGCUUAGGCGUGUGACUGCGUACCUUUUGUAUAAUGGGUCAGCGACUUAUAUUCUGUAGCAAGGUUAACCGAAUAGGGGAGCCGAAGGGAAACCGAGUCUUAACUGGGCGUUAAGUUGCAGGGUAUAGACCCGAAACCCGGUGAUCUAGCCAUGGGCAGGUUGAAGGUUGGGUAACACUAACUGGAGGACCGAACCGACUAAUGUUGAAAAAUUAGCGGAUGACUUGUGGCUGGGGGUGAAAGGCCAAUCAAACCGGGAGAUAGCUGGUUCUCCCCGAAAGCUAUUUAGGUAGCGCCUCGUGAAUUCAUCUCCGGGGGUAGAGCACUGUUUCGGCAAGGGGGUCAUCCCGACUUACCAACCCGAUGCAAACUGCGAAUACCGGAGAAUGUUAUCACGGGAGACACACGGCGGGUGCUAACGUCCGUCGUGAAGAGGGAAACAACCCAGACCGCCAGCUAAGGUCCCAAAGUCAUGGUUAAGUGGGAAACGAUGUGGGAAGGCCCAGACAGCC
rnacentral:rRNA from 1 species